rnacentral:rRNA from 2 species
AAAACGACUCUCGGCAACGGAUAUCUCGGCUCUCGCAUCGAUGAAGAACGUAGCGAAAUGCGAUACUUGGUGUGAAUUGCAGAAUCCCGUGAACCAUCGAGUCUUUGAACGCAAGUUGCGCCCCAAGCCUUCUGGCCGAGGGCACGUCUGCCUGGGCGUCACAAAU